GAUGAACGCUAGCGGCAGGCCUAACACAUGCAAGUCGAGGGGCAGCACAGAAACAGCAAUGUUUUGGUGGCGACCGGCGGACGGGUGCGUAACGCGUAUGCAACCUACCUUUAACAGGGGGAUAACGGAGAGAAAUUUCCACUAAUACCCCAUAACAUCGAUCAAGGCAUCUUGAUUGGUUGAAAACUCCGGUGGUUAAAGAUGGGCAUGCGUUGUAUUAGGUAGUUGGUGAGGUAAUGGCUCACCAAGCCUACGAUACAUAGGGGGACUGAGAGGUUCGCCCCCCACACUGGGACGCAGCCACGUACCAGACUUCUACGGGAGGCAGCAGUGAGGAAUAUUGGUCAAUUGGGGCAACCCUGAACCAGCCAUGCCGCAUGCAGGAAAGCGGCUCUAUGAGUUGUAACCUGCUUUUAAACAGGGAUAAAGCACAGUAUGUAUACUGUGUUGAAGGUACUGUAAGAAUAAGGAUCGGCUAAGUCCGUGCCAGCAGCCGCCGUAU
rnacentral:rRNA from 1 species